GGGUGCGAUCAUACCAGCACUAAUGCACUGGAUCCCAUCAGAACUCUGCAGCUAAGCGUGGUUUGUGUGGGAACCGAAAUUCGCACUUC
rnacentral:rRNA from 2 species